rnacentral:rRNA from 1 species
GACGUAGGUGGCGAACGUUAUCCGGAUUUAUUGGGCGUAAAGGAUGCGUAGACGGUAAAAAAAGUUACUACUUGACGUCGAGCUCAACUUGACUGAAAUUAGUAAUACUAUUUUGCUAGGGAUUGGGAGAAGUUGAUGGAAAUCUAUGUGGAGGGGUGAAAUUCGUAGAUAUCGAGAGGAACACCGGUGGCGAAGGCGGCGAUCUGGACGAUGACUGACGCUGAGACGCGAAAGCGUGGGGAGCAAACAGG